rnacentral:misc_RNA from 1 species
GGUUUGAUCCUGGCUCCAGAUUGAACGCUGGCGGGAUGUUUUACACAUGCAAGUCGAACGGCAGCACGGACUUCGGUCUGGUGGCGGUAGCGAACGGGUGAGUAAUGUAUCGGAACGUGCCUAGUAGCGGGGGAUAACUACGCGAAAGCGUAGCUAACACCGCAUACGCCCUUCGGGGAAAGCGGGGGGCCUUCGCGGGCCUCACUAUUAGAAACGGCCGAUAUAGGAUUAGCUAGUUGGUGGGAGUAACGGCUCACCAAGGCGACGUCGUAGCUGGCGAGAGGACGACCAGCCACACUGGGACUGAGACACGGCCCAGACUCCUACGGGAGGCAGCGGUGGGGAAUUUUGGAC